rnacentral:lncRNA from 1 species
CAAAAACAUAAACAUAUGCUUGAUUAAAUUAAAUUAUAACAACUAUUAUCUUUUAAAAGGAUUGUAUCUUAUAAGCUUCAAACACUACUGCAAAUAAAUUUAAUUUUUACACUUACUAAAAACUUUUAAAAUGCCAUCUAACUUUUAAUACCAGUAGCAAUUGUGUUAAUCCAAUUUACUCCAACUUAAAUAUGAAUCUAAGAUCCUUAGAGCUUGGACGAAUAUUAAAUUAAUUUGUGGUUAAAUUUUGACUCUCUGAAAUCUUUGAUUAUCUGCACUUUCUAAAAGAUUAAAGGUCAUAAAGCAGAAAUGAUGAAAGUGGUACAAAUAAGCAGCAUGUAUUUGAUCUUUCUAAUGUUCAAAUUAUGGUGAGAAAUUAGAUACAGUGUGCCCAGAGUCUUAUGUGCAUUAAAGAUACAGUUAAUAUAUCUGAAAGCUAAAAUUAAAAGGUUUAAAUUUUUCAUUUCACAGAUGUUUGUGUAUGUUUAAAUUUACAUAUAGCGUUACAUUAGAAUUGUGAAAAUGAGAACCUUAUGUAUAGUAAAGAUUAAAAAAAAAUUUAUAGGACUGGGGAUGUAGCUCAGUGGCAGAGUGCAGGCCUAGCAUGUGCAAAGCCCAGUACUGAACCCCAGUACUGAAAGGAAAAACAAAACAAAACUAACCAUUCGGGAGGAAAAGUUCCUUGACUGGUCAGACUUUUUGUUUAAAAACAACAACAAAAUGUCUUAUUGUAUGGUGGCUUUAACAGAGAACAGAGUUUUGGUUUUGUUUUUUUCAUUUUUUUUAAAA